rnacentral:siRNA from 1 species
GAUGCUGAUUGGCCUUCCAAAUA